rnacentral:rRNA from 1 species
CCUACGGGAGGCAGCAGUGGGGAAUAUUGCACAAUGGGGGAAACCCUGAUGCAGCGACGCCGCGUGAGCGAUGAAGGAUUUCGGUAUGUAAAGCUCUAUCAGCAGGGAAGAAAAUGACGGUACGUGACUAAGAAUCCACGUCUAACUACGUUCCAGCAGCCGCGGUACUAUGUAGGGGGCCAGCGUUAUCCGGAUUUACUGGGUGUAAAGGGAGCGUAGACGGGGUUGCAAGCCAGUUGUGAAAGCCCGGGGCUCAACCACGGGACUGCAUUUGAAACUGUAUAGCUGGAGUGUCGGAGAGGCAGGCGGAAUUCGUGGUGUAGCGGUGAAAUGCGUAGAUAUUAGGCGGAACACCAGUGGCGAAGGCGGCCUGCUGGACGAUGACUGACGUUGAGGCUCGAAAGCGUGGGGAGCAAACAGGAUUAGAUACCCUUGUAGUC